UGGCUAUCUGUAAUGAUGUCUGAGUGUUGGGAGAUAGUGCCCCAUGGUAUCUGUAAUGAGUCUGAGUGUUGGGUGGGAGUGCCCAUGGCUAUCUGUAAUGAUGUCUGAGUGUUGGAGUGCCCAUGGCUAUCUGUAAUGAUGUCUGAGUGUUGGAGUGCCCAUGGCUAUCUUACAAUAUAAAAACAAGGAAACUGGUUUGCUUAAUAAAAUUAAUUGUUUAUUAUUUAUACUUUUACUUUUGAUACUUACAUAUUUUAGGAAUUACAUUUAUUUUUAAGUAUAUUUAAAACCAAAAUACUUUUAGAUUUGUAUUCAUGUAGUAUUUUACUGGGUGACUUUCACGUUUACUUGAAUAUAUCUUUACUUUUAUGCAAGUAGACCACCACUGGUAGGACGACACUGGCAGGACGACCCUGGCAGGACGACCCUGGCAGGACGACCCUGGCAGGACGACCCUGGCAGGACGACCCUGGCAGGACAUCUGUGGUAGGACACCGUUACGGAAAAGCUUUACACAAUAAAUCUACAUGGAGUAUUCAGAACUGAUUUAAUUUCUUUACCAAAAUAAAUUGUUUUGCAUUUCACAUGGGUUGACUAAGACUUGAUCUCGUAAUCUAGACAAAGAUUAGUUGUUAAAAGGUAUCAACAUAUCCAAGGUAUAAUAAUGCAUUAUAAAUAUUUUUUGCUAGUAACAUGUAAAACUAACUGUUUGGAGAAAGUUCUACUGGUUGAAAACACAUAAUUGGUGCAGGAUCACAUUGUGACCACCAGAGGGCGCCAUAGCCUAACAGUCAGCCACCAUGAAGUACUGAACAGCCAGACGGAGCAACCGAACCUACAAACAUAUUUACUGAUCACUGAGUGAGGACAACAUGGGAAGCAUCACAGACACAGGCUUCCAUCGUAGCUCAGUGGAUACAGACAGGGAGCAUCUGAGAUGGCACCCUAUUCCCUCUAUGGCACCCUAUUCCCUCUAUGGCACCCUAUUCCCUCUAUAGUCCUAUGGCACCCCAUUCCCUCUGUAGUCCUAUGGCACCCCAUUCCCUCUGUAGUCCUAUAGCACCCCAUUCCCUCUGUAGUCCUAUAGCACCCCAUUCCCUUAGUCCUAUAGCACCCCAUUCCCUCUGUAGUCCUAUAGCACCCCAUUCCCUCUGUAGUCCUAUAGCACCCAUUCCCUCGUAGUCCUAUAGCACCCCAUUCCCUCUGUAUCCUAUAGCCCCCCAUUCCCUCUGUAGUCCUAUAGCCCCCAUCCCUCUGUAGUCCUAUAGCAACCCCAUUCCCUCUGUAGUCCUAGCACCCCAUUCCCUCUGUAGUCCUAUAGCACCCCAUUCCCUCUGUAGUCCUAUAGCACACCCCAUCCCUCUGUAGUCCUAUAGCACCCAAUUCCCUCUGAGUCCUAUAGCACCCCAUUCCCUCUGGAGUCCUAUAGCACCCCAUUCCCUCUGUAGUCCUAUAGCACCCCAUUCCCUCGGUAGUCCUAUAGCACCCCAUUCCCUCUGUAGUCCAAGCACCCCAUUCCCUCUGGUAGUCCUAUAGCACCCCAUUCCCUCUGUAGUCCUAUAGCACCCCAUUCCCUCUGUAGUCCAUAGCACCCCAUCCUCUGUAGUCCUAUAGCACCCCAUUCCCUGUAGUCCUAUAGCA
ensembl:lncRNA